AAACACCAAUCAAAGAUUUCCCCCAUUGUACGUUUGGGGUCGUUGCAAUCAAUAAUGGAUGUGUCGUUCAAAGUGUC
rnacentral:tRNA from 1 species